CAGUCUGCAUGGAGCCGACCUUGAAAUACCACCCUUUAAUGUUUGAUGUUCUAACGUGGACCCGUAAUCCGGGUUGCGGACAGUGUCUGGUGGGUAGUUUGACUGGGGCGGUCUCCUCCUAAAGAGUAACGGAGGAGCACGAAGGUUGGCUAAUCCUGGUCGGACAUCAGGAGGUUAGUGCAAUGGCAUAAGCCAGCUUGACUGCGAGCGUGACGGCGCGAGCAGGUGCGAAAGCAGGUCAUAGUGAUCCGGUGGUUCUGAAUGGAAGGGCCAUCGCUCAACGGAUAAAAGGUACUCCGGGGAUAACAGGCUGAUACCGCCCAAGAGUUCAUAUCGACGGCGGUGUUUGGCACCUCGAUGUCGGCUCAUCACAUCCUGGGGCUGAAGUAGGUCCCAAGGGUAUGGCUGUUCGCCAUUUAAAGUGGUACGCGAGCUGGGUUUAGAACGUCGUGAGACAGUUCGGUCCCUAUCUGCCGUGGGCGCUGGAGAACUGAGGGGGGCUGCUCCUAGUACGAGAGGACCGGAGUGGACGCAUCACUGGUGUUCGGGUUGUCAUGCCAAUGGCACUGCCCGGUAGCUAAAUGCGGAAGAGAUAAGUGCUGAAAGCAUCUAAGCACGAAACUUGCCCCGA
rnacentral:rRNA from 4 species